ensembl:lncRNA
GGCGUCUCGUGUUUCCAGCAGCCGUGUGUCUGGGAUUCUCUUCUCCUGUGGUGUAAUUCGAUCGCGGCUUAAUGCGCGUUCACAGUUCACGUGGGGAGAUCCUUCAACACUCUUAGCGCUAAAACCAAAAAAAAUUUUUCAAAAUCUCGACAGGAACAUCGUUUCAAUUACCUGCGUGAAGAUGAGCUGAAGAUGGCAGAUUUUUACAUCUUGUCCGGUAGUGUACGAACAGGAAGCGUCUACGACCUCUGGGAUUAUUCAGCUCUGCAUCGUCAGUGAUGAACUUCACGGGAGAAGAGGCAAUGGAGCUCUAGGAGGAAGAGCCUCAGCCCGGACGGAGCGGACUGUACGAGCCCUGGUGCGGAAGACGGAGGGAGGAAACAUCGUUUGACCCGCCGUUUGCUGCCGACAAGCUCCACUACACCACAGAGUAGACUACGAGGUUGAAGUCCACAUGCCUGACCAGCAUGAGGAGGAGCAAGAUGGUGGUGAUGAGCAUGAGGUGCCUUUUAGAUGCUCAUCCCCUUUACCAGGCCCAUAUGCUCUGAGAAUCUCACCCUUUUCCUAAGGCAGUCUCCUGUAAGAAGCCCACCCCCUUUGAGAAUCACCCCCCCUUUCAGUUAGCACCUCGUACUCACCACCUCGUCAUAAAAUGUGUAGUAAGUAUCAGUGCUAAGUAUUUUACACCUAGAUUCCAGCAUUAUUAUUAUUAUUAUUAUUAUUAUUAUUAUUAUUAUUGUUGUCAUUGUAUUGUUGUUAUUAUUAUUAUUAUUGUCAUUGUAUUAUUAUUAUUAUUGUCAUUAUUAUUAUUGUUGUUGUUGUUAUUUUAUUUGUGCUAAUUAUUUCACUUGCAGUAGUCUUUUUUUUUAUUAUUUGUGAUGAGUAUUUAACCCCUAGACUCCAGCAUUAUUCUUUUUUUAUUUUAAAUAAUGUAUAAUUUAUAUUAAUUACAUUUAUGUGGAUCUAAUUAGUGCAGACGUAUGGUGUAUUCAUGUAAAUAUGUAUAUAUUACGUUUUUAGGAUUAAGGAAUAACAGACUAAAUUAAUACAUGCCACCCCAACUCCCCCCCCCCCACCCCACCCCCUCCAACUGGUAUAUCUAUAGUGUAUUAAUCCACUUAUACCACAGCAAUUUGCAACCAUGAACAAAACCUCACACAGUUUAAUGGUUUAUAGUUCUGAAAGCGUAUCCGAGACUCCUUCCAUAAAUCUCCUAACCAAAAAAAUGUCACAUUGACGAUUAUAAGCUUUACAUUGCUAAAUCC